AAACAGUACUUUAAAAUCAGUCCCUUAAAAAUAGUUUAUAGUAUCAAAAUGUUUUCAUGUUAUAAAAGCUGACCUUAUUAAUUUUCUGCAGCAUACCGAAAAGUGUUCAUUAGAAAACAUUUGCCUAGCUGCGCAUGGUGGUAUACAUCUAUAAUUUCAGUGACUUGGAAGGCUGAGGCAGGAGGAUUACAAGUUUGAGGCCAGCCUAGGCAACUUAGAGAGACCCUGUCUCCAAAUAAAAAAAUAAAAAAGGCUUGGAUGUAGCUCAACAAUAAAGUGCCUCUUUCAAUCCCUAGUACCCCAAACCAAACCAAACAAAAUUUACACAAUAAUUAUUGAGAAGUGUGAAACCUUUCUUGAGCUGUUGAAAGCUCAAAGCCAUAUUUGUUCAAUUAUAGAAACUCCUUCUUCCCAAAUUCUUACUAACCUUAUUUUAUCUUUUAAAAUCUUAGAACAAAAAGAAAACAUAUAUAUUCUUGCAGAAAAAUUGGAGAAUAAAGAGAAACCAGGGAUAACCCAAUGUAUUAUUUUACCUCUUCUUUAUGCCAAAGGAAUGAAACUAGCAAAACCAAAAGCCUCUUGUCCCACAGCAGUCACAAUUGACCGGGCUCAAUGAGCAUAAUGCUGUUUUGACCAACAGGAGUUUACCCUACUAAGAGGUCUCUGCUUCGGGUCUUGCCAACAUAUCAGAGAAAUCCUUCUUUGGGAAGGGGUAGCUUAGAUUUUUUUUUUUUUUUAAAUGAAGGAUUGUGAUGGAUAUUUUAGGACACAAAGAGCUGGAGCCCAGUUGAAGGAAUACUCUUUGUUGACCUUUGUUUUCCAUGGAAAGCACUGAUGAGCAGCACUUUGACCUGACCUGCGUUCAUUUUUCAGGGCUGGGUUGUGCUGGAAGUCUGAAUAGUCUAGGAUCCCUAGCUGGAGUGGCCUACUUGGUCUUAGUGGGUAAACACAGAAGUCAUUUGCUAACGCUUUUCUGGCUGAGUUCUGUGAGCCCUCUUCAGCUCCUCUGGUUACCUCCCAGGGGAAGAAACUGGAGUGUUCCCCUCUUGGGACACACUGUCCCAGUGGGCAGGUCUUCUCUAUUCUUAACAAGAAUACUU
rnacentral:lncRNA from 1 species